rnacentral:rRNA from 1 species
GGCCCACCAAGGCUACGAUCAGUAGGGGUUCUGAGAGGAAGGUCCCCCACAUUGGAACUGAGACACGGUCCAAACUCCUACGGGAGGCAGCAGUGAGGAAUAUUGGUCAAUGGGCGAGAGCCUGAACCAGCCAAGUAGCGUGCAGGAUGACGGCCCUAUGGGUUGUAAACUGCUUUUAUAAGGGAAUAAAGUGAGUCUCGUGAGACUUUUUGCAUGUACCUUAUGAAUAAGGACCGGCAUAAUUCCGUGCCAGCAGCCGCGGUAAUACGGAAGGUCCGGGCGUUAUCCGGAUUUAUUGGGUUUAAAGGGAGCGUAGGCCGGAGAUUAAGCGUGUUGUGAAAUGUAGACGCUCAACGUCUGCACUGCAGCGCGAACUGGUUUCCUUGAGUACGCACAAAGUGGGCGGAAUUCGUGGUGUAGCGGUGAAAUGCUUAGAUAUCACGAAGAACUCCGAUUGCGAAGGCAGCUCACUGGAGCGCAACUGACGCUGAAGCUCGAAAGUGCGGGUAUCGAACAGGAUUAGAUACCCUGGUAGUCCGCACGGUAAACGAUGGAUGCCCGCUGUUGGUCUGAAUAGGUCAGCGGCCAAGCGAAAGCAUUAAGCAUCCCACCUGGGG